rnacentral:tRNA from 1 species
GGGCCCCUAGCUCAGCUGGUUAGAGCACCUGCUUUGCAAGCAGGGGGUCAAGGGUUCGAAUCCCUUGGGGUCCA